rnacentral:rRNA from 1 species
GAUGAACGCUGGCGGCGUGCUUAACACAUGCAAGUCGAGCGAAGCACCCGGAAGUCUUCGGACGGAAGGGUGACUGAGCGGCGGACGGGUGAGUAACGCGUGGGCAACCUGCCUCAUACAGGGGGAUAACAGUUAGAAAUGACUGCUAAUACCGCAUAAGCAUACAGCUCCGCAUGGAGCAGUGUGAAAAACUCCGGUGGUAUGAGAUGGGCCCGCGUCUGAUUAGGUAGUUGGCGGGGUAACGGCCCACCAAGCCGACGAUCAGUAGCCGACCUGAGAGGGCGACCGGCCACAUUGGGACUGAGACACGGCCCAAACUCCUACGGGAGGCAGCAGUGGGGAAUAUUGCACAAUGGGGGAAGCCCUGAUGCAGCGACGCCGCGUGAAGGAAGAAGUAUUUCGGUAUGUAAACUUCUAUCANCAGGGAANAAAAUGACGGUACCUGACUAAGAAGCCCCGGCUAACUACNUGCCAGCNNCCGCGGUAAUACNUANGGGGCAAGCGUUAUCCGGAUUUACUGGGUGUAAAGGGAGCGUANACGGCGGUGCAAGUCUGAUGUGAAAACCCGGGGCUCAACCCCGGGACUGCAUUGNAAACUGCAUGGCUGGAGUGUCUGAGAGGCAGGCGGAAUUCCUAGUGU